rnacentral:rRNA from 1 species
AGCAGCCGCGGUAAUUCCAGCUCCAAUAGCGUAUAUUAAAGUUGUUGCAGUUAAAAAGCUCGUAGUUGAAUUUUGGGUCUGGCCGGGCGGUCCGCCCUCUGGGUGAGCACUGUUCCGACGUCGGGCCUAUCCUUCUGGUGAGUCGGCAUGUCCUUUAUUGGGUGUGUCGGGGAACCAGGACCAUUACCUUGAAAAAAAUUAGAGUGUUCAAAGCAGGCGUAUGCUCGGAUACAUUAGCAUGGAAUAAUGAAAUAGGACGCGUGGUGCUAUUUUGUUGGUUUCUAGAACCGCCGUAAUGAUUAAUAGGGAUAGUUGGGGGCAUUAGUAUUCAAUUGUCAGAGGUGAAAUUCUUGGAUUUAUUGAAGACUAACUUCUGCGAAAGCAUUUGCCAAGGAUGUUUUCAUUAAUCAAGAACGAAAGUUAGGGGAUCGAAGACGAUCAGAUACCGUCGUAGUCUUAACCAUAAACUAUGCCGACUAGGAAUCGGGCGAUGUUAUUCUCAUGACUCG